GAUGAAGAACGUAGCGAAAUGCGAUAAGUAGUGUGAAUUGCAGAAUUCAGUGAAUCAUCGAAUCUUUGAACGCACAUUGCGCCCUUUGGUAUUCCAAAGGGCAUGCCUGUUCGAGCGUCAUUUGUACCCUCAAGCUUUGCUUGGUGUUGGGCGUCUUGUCUCUAGCUUUGCUGGAGACUCGCCUUAAAGUAAUUGGCAGCCGGCCUACUGGUUUCGGAGCGCAGCACAAGUCGCACUCUCUAUCAGCAAAGGUCUAGCAUCCACUAAGCCUUUUUUUCAACUUUUGACCUCGGAUCAGGUAGGGAUACCCGCUGAACUUAAGCAUAUCAAUAAGCGAGGA
rnacentral:misc_RNA from 1 species